rnacentral:rRNA from 1 species
GACGAACGCUGGCGGCGUGCCUAAUACAUGCAAGUAGAACGCACAGUUUAUACCGUAGCUUGCUACACCAUAGACUGUGAGUUGCGAACGGGCGAGUAACGCGUAGGUAACCUGCCUGGUAGCGGGGGAUAACUAUUGGAAACGAUAGCUAAUACCGCAUAAUAUUCAUUAUUGCAUGAUAAUUAAUUGAAAGGUGCAAUUGCACCACUACCAGAUGGACCUGCGUUGUAUUAGCUAGUAGGUGACGUAACGGCUCACCUAGGCGACGAUACAUAGCCGACCUGAGAGGGUGAUCAGCCACACUGGGACUGAGACACGGCCCAGACUCCUACGGGAGGCAGCAGGAGGGAAUCUUUGGCAAUGGACGAAAGUCUGACCGAGCAACGCCGCGGGGGGGAAGAAGGUUUUCGGAUCGUAAAGCUCUGUUGUAAGAGAAGAACGGGUGUGAGAGUGGAAAGUUCACACUGUGACGGUAUCUUACCAGAAAGAGACGGCUAACUACGUG